rnacentral:rRNA from 1 species
UACGGAGGGGGCUAGCGUUGUCCGGAAUCAUUGGGCGUAAAGCGCGUGUAGGCGGUUCGGUAAGUCCGCUGUGAAAGUCGGGGGCUCAACCCUCGGAUGCCGGUGGAUACUGUCGGACUAGAGUACGGAAGAGGCGAGUGGAAUUCCUGGUGUAGCGGUGAAAUGCGCAGAUAUCAGGAGGAACACCAAUUGCGAAGGCAGCUCGCUGGGACGUUACUGACGCUGAGACGCGAAAGCGUGGGGAGCAAACAGG